rnacentral:rRNA from 1 species
AUGCUUAACACAUGCAAGUCGAACGAAAAGCAAGUCUUCGGACUUGUGGACAGUGGCGAACGGGUGCGUAACACGUGAGCAACCUGCCCUUGAGUAUGGAACAGCCCGCCGAAAGGUGGAUUAAUGCCUUAUGUGGCCUUUUAACUCAUGUUAGAAUGGCUAAAGCUUGUAAUGGCGCUCAAGGAUGGGCUCGCGGCCUAUCAGCUUGUUGGUGAGGUAACGGCUCACCAAGGCUUAGACGGGUAGCUGGUCUGAGAGGAUGAUCAGCCACACCGGGACUGAGACACGGCCCGGACACCUACGGGUGGCAGCAGUUUCGAAUCAUUCACAAUGGGCGAAAGCCUGAUGGUGCAAUGCCGCGUGGAGGAUGAAGGCCCUAGGGUCGUAAACUCCUGUCAUUGGGGAACAACAAGCAGGUUCAUAGCCUGCCCUGAGUUAACCCAAAGAGGAAGAGGUGGCUAACUCCGUGCCAGCAGCCGCGGUAAUACGGAGACCUCGAGCGUUACUCGGAUUUACUGGGCGUAAAGGGUGAGUAGGCGGCUAGAUAUGUCAGGUGUGAAAUCCCGGGGCUCAACCUCGGAACUGCGCCUGAAACUAUUUAGCUAGAGUCUCGGAGAGGAUAGUGGAAUUCCAGGUGUAGCGGUGAAAUGCGUAGAUAUCUGAAGGAACACCAGUGG